UCCCCAUUCUCUAUCUUUCAUUUGACGCUGUCUUUCCUCUCUCUAUCUCUCUCAUAAACCCAGAAUAGCCAUUCCCUUCGUUCUCUCCUCGAUUGGCUAUUCUCUCCUUCUGGCCUGGAUCAAUUCCGUCGGUGUUGUGACCUCGAUCCUUCCCUCUCCUCUGUGUGACACUCUCUUUCUCUCUCAUUUUCUCACUAUCUCUCUCGCGGUGUUGCUCUCACGAACCCAGUUCUCUACUUCUCGAUCUUUUUUGCAUUCUACCGUCCCUUGCUUUUGCUUGAGACACACACUCUCUCCUUCUCUAUCGAUGUUUUUCUGACUCUGAAACCCUAGCCCUUCAACCCCAUUUUCCUCCCUUCAGUUCGGGUUUCUCUUCAAAUCUGGCUAUUCUCUCAAUGCUGCUCUGCGAUAUCUCUCUCUAGGAAAAUUAUUGAUCUCAAUGGACCGAUGCUGUAAAUGGCUGCAGUGACACCAACAGCAUCUAUGAAGAGGAAGAAACGAUUUCUUCAAUUACUCAAAAUGCCGGUAUAUGCCCAGCGGAAUCGGGAUCUGGUCCAGUCAAAGCGGGGGGCUGGCGACGGAAGCGCUAAAGGCAAACGUUACCGAGUUUCAUCGCUGUUUUCUGCCGCCAAUGACCCCUCAGAACAGUGUCCGGAGGCAUUGCGGAGGCCACUACGGAAACCAUUAUGGCGAGUUCGCGACUGAAAUGGUAGACCUCGGAUGAGGGGCUGGAAAAUUUGGCCGAACACAGCAGAAGUCCUUUAAUUCCAAAUGUUCGCUCACCAGAACAGAGAUUAAUUGAGUAUCCAGCUGGAUUCUGAUCUGAGAUUGCAUCGGAGUUCUAGGGAAAUAGAAAUGAGGUCAGAACGUCUGCAAGAAAGUUAAGUUAAAUAAUUUUUCUUCUUGCUUAUAUUUAUAUAAAUUAUAUUUAAUUUGUUCUUUUUUUGUGGUUUAAUGUUUAUUUUAUUUUGAGAUAAUGCAUAUUUUAGAACGAGUGAAAUGAGAAGAACCGGUUGAUUGUAGGAAGAGUAAAGAGCUUUUGGCUUUUUUUGAAGUUAAAGAUUGGUUUCUGAUAUAUAUUUAGGUCCCGUUUGGAUAACCAACUUAAUUAAGCUCCUUUUGAUAAAAUAACUUAAACAAUAAAUGACUCUGUUAAAAGUAACUUAUAAAUAAGCUAUUUUGUGUUUGGAUUUUUAACUCUAAAAAUGUUUAUUUUAUAGAAAUGUGAUGAAAAGUAGAAGUAUUAUGAGAGAAGUCAUUUUUUUAAACUUCUCUAUAUGUUCCUAAAUAGCUUCUUAGAAAGUUGCAAUUUGAUUUUGAAAAUUGCACCCGACAUUAAUACUACUACUUUUCAUAAGUUAAAAGUUAAAAAAAGUACUUCUAAAGUUUUCCAAACGGACCCAAGUGGUUCUAAUAUUCUAUAUGCUAAAGUUUUUGCUUUUUUUAUGAGUUGUUAUGUUAAUAUAAUACAUUGGAAUGAGGAGUUGUGUUGAGACAAUUUUUCUUUUUAUGUUUAUUAUUUACAUUGUUUAUUAGUUUGUUUAAGUUAUUCAAUUCUAUCAUUCUAUGCUUGACAUGAUCAUGUAUGUUCCUGCAUAUGUAAUCUAUCCUCUUUUUCUCUCUAUGAUUAUGUAAGGCUGUGGAAGUUCCUUUAUGUAAAUUUUAACAAGUGUGCAAAUUUAUAUUAUGUCUAUUAAUUUUAAUAGUGACUCCUGCGAUAUCUCCAAUAUAAAUUUUCUAGACAGCCAAGAAUACUUAUAGUUUUGGUUUUAAUUUCUAUUUAUCUCUUAUGAAAAUUUGCAAUCGCUUUGUUGCCUUAGCUUGAUUGUAUAUAUGUUUUUGUUUCACAUGGAAAUAUGCUAAGCAUUCUAUUUUGAUUGAAUCAUUCGUUUAUUCCUUUUUUUCAUUUCUCUUCUUGUGUUGUUUGAUUUAACUUUUUAUUGUAGUUUCAUUCUCUUCUUCAAGAUACCACCCCUGCUGAAUUGCUGAUCACUUCGAUCUUUGUUCUCAUUAUUUAGCUACCACCAUCCAUGACUGCAGCAGCUUCAGGAGAAAUCGCUUGAACUGUUGUCGGCAUCUUAGGAAGUAUAAUUUCUGCCUUCCUGUUGUUGUCCCCAGUCAACUGGAACAGAAGCAUGUGGAGAAAAAACACUCAGAAAGUGAGACACAUCUUCUAAUAGUAUAAAGAGCAUGGGUUAUUCAGCCAGGUGUUGCUUCCUCAGCUCUUUGGAGCCCAAAAUGUAUACGUGACAUCUCAGUUUUUUGGAUUACAAAAUAAAGGGUAAGACUUGGUUCACUCUCUCUCUUCAAAACCCUAAUGUCUCAAAGUUCUCUCUAUCCCUCCCAAACGUAGCAGCGGCGGACUAAGCAGAGGAAGAGGGUGAUGAAGACUCACAGGCGAGAUGGACUAUAAUGGGGCGGAGGACGGCUCGAGACUUCUCUUUCUGAGGCAGUGACUCUCCCUCCCAAACGCAGCAGCGGCGGAAUGAUCACAGCAAGAGGGCAAUGAGGAGUCAAAGAGGCGAGAUGGACUAUAACAGGGUGGAGGAGGGCUCGAUGGGAAGGGAGUUCUUCCUCUGAUGCGGUAUCACCCGCGAAGUCGUUUUAUCCCAAAACGACAAUUCCAAGAUCCACUGCCUCAUGUCGAGUGAUGAUGCUGUGAAACCCGUACCCUUCGCUCGCCGGCGCCCCACCGGAGAAGCUACCAGCAGCUCCGAUUCCUCUCACCGCAAGCGCACCAAAUUUCUCCAUCAUUUCAAAGGAUGGAUUUGAUUCUAGUUGUGAGGUAGAGGCCGAAGGUGAAUGUGAUGAAUCUGACGUAGCAAAAGUAGAUCAAGGGGUCAAAAUGGAUCUCAUCGAGGAUUUAUUGCAAAUAGUUUUCUCAUUUUUGGAUCCUCCCAAUCUAUGCAAAGCUGCGCCAGAGUUUGUACGCAGUGGAGCUCCUGAUGAGCAUAAUCACGGGUACUCCAUUUAGAUUUCUAGCCACUUCUGAAAAUCGAAUUUCUAGAUACAUCUACACCGUAUCUCUGCCAACUGAUUGGGAUUCCUUUUUCUUAUUUGGAGGUGAAUGAUGGGUUGGCAUGAACUACAAAUUACUAACAGUUUUAGAAUUAGAAUGUAAUGAAUGUGUUAAUUUUGGAGUGUGAUUUUUCAUUGGUAGUUAUUGUUUGUGUCUUUGCGACUGCAGUGGGAGAUUUUAGAAUGUAAUGAAUGUGUUAAUUCUGAAAAUGUUUAUUCCCAUUCCGUGAAAUCAUAUCCUUCUUCAAAUGAUGUUUUGCCUUUACAAUACUAUACAAAUGAGAAUCAGAUAUCGGGACUCUCUGGAGUUCGCAAUACUGGUGUUUUAGGUUACACGACGUCUGUGGUACCUUUGGAAGCAUAGUGCUCUGGUGGAAAUUCUUUUGCCUUGCAUGAUUUUAUAAGUAAGGAUAUCUUGUGUGUUAGAAAUUUCUUUAUGUAUCCCUUACAGCUAUUAUCCACAUGGAAAUUUUUAAAAUUGGGUCUUAUCUUCUGCCUGCUUAUAUUAUGUCUUAGUUGACAAAAAAAGCCAUUUCUCCGGUAAUAAAGGGGUUAGUUCCUUGUCUUCUUCCUCUACUAUUCUAACUUUUAAGGCCUUAAUUGUUUUUCAUCUGAAUCUAGCUAUUUGUGUCUCAUAUUCGAAGCCAAUGAUUGGUAACUUGAUUGGCAUGCAAGAUCAAUAUUCUUUGAGUUUUGCAGAAAGAAAAAGUUUUGUCUUGCCAAUCCAUGAAUAUAUCAUGGAAGUAGAUGGUGAGGAGUGACAGAUUUAAGAUGGGGCAAGAUUGUAAGAACAGUAUCUUCAUAAAAGGACUGUGAAUGAAGAUCUCAGAGAAAUCUUCAUUGAGAUGAUUGAAAGGUGUUGACAAUGGCCGAUGUAAGUUUAUCUCACUGAUAUGAAAUGACACUCGCUAGGUGUUUAGCAGAAAUGUUUCUUUUUUUUAUUUCUAAUUUUUUUAUUGUUAUUUGUUUGUUUAAUGCAUUGGUUUAUUGGAUGAUACUCCCUGCGAGAAUUGGAAGAACUGAGACGAGUGCCUCUCUUGCUCUCGCUCUCUAAUAUUGGAUUAGCGGUAUUUGACGUCAAAUCAAAUCGGCCACCGAAAGUUCGUGGACGCUCGAUAGGGAGGUUCAGCUCUCGAAGUCCAAGAUCUGGCAGUUAUUCUUGGUUUACAGUGACAUUUUGUUUUAAGAGCCAAAUUGAUUGUACCUUCGACUUCCCAUUUAGGUUUGUGGUACUUUAACCUCUUGCAAUCCUUAGCUCUACUGCUUUCUUUCUUGCAAUCCUUUUUGUUUCGGUCUUCUUCCUGUCUUUCUGAAGUUGACAUUUUAUUGAUGGAUUGUCUUAUGUAUUUUAAAUUUUUCUAUUAUUGGUUUUAUAUUCUUUUAAUUUGAGUGACUUUACUAUUAUAUUUUUCAAGAUGUGUUUUUCAGCAUGUUUUAAAAUCUUGGUUUUAAUUUUCACAUAACUUCUGUAAAACAUAUAAUUUGAAUAAAUUAUUGACUGUUAUUUAUUAAUUCUUGAUUCUUUUGGAGAUAUGGUUCAGUAUCUCCUUUUUCAGUAUCUCUUUUAUAUUCUUUUAAACGUACAAUUUUUAGUGUUUCUCUUUUUUCUUUCUCGAUUUCACGCCUUGAGCUACUUGGAUUUCUUAUGCUUUCCUUAAUAUUAAAAUUGCAAGAUAAAUUAGGCUUUAAGAUCUGACAAAUGUUAUUAGCUUUAUCAAUUCUUGUGUAUAAUUGACUUUAGCUUUGCUUUGGUUAAGGAUUUUGUCUUUAGAAUAAAAAUAUUUUGCUGCUUUGUUUGAAAAAAAUGAAGAAUAAUUUUUUGGGAUUCUGAAUUGACUUGAUGAAUUUUUUUGGAUUAAAUUUGCUGUUUUUCAUCUGAAAUGUGUUAAACAUGUAUUUUUUUGUUGGGUCGUCGUUAUUAUCCAUCUGUUUUAUAGGUCCCUUUUCAUUUUCUUCUAAAUCUACAUCAAUUUACUGUUAUUUUAGUUGUAGUCUUUUGGUAGAUGGUUAUGUUUAUUGAUGAAAUAUGUUUUGUUUUGAUUUCUGUUUGUAUUAUUACCUUUUAUUGUAUUGAUUUUUAGCCAUAAAUAGUUUUGGUUGGAAAUGUUGUUACAGUUGUGAAAAGAUUAAUUCAAACCUUUUUUUCCCAUUAUUCUUUGUGGCAUGAACAGUUGCUCUAUUUAGCUAUCAAGCUUAUGUUGCUUCUUUUUCUGAGAAGUUUGAGUAUUUGAUUCUGUUGCUAUAUUUUUUUAAAUAAAAUUAGUAAAAAAAUUAUCUUUAUUUGUUGCUCUCUUUUGUUUAUAUCUUCAUUCCUUGAUUGUAUUUUUUUUAAGCACAAUUUUUGAACUUUAUUGAUGGCCUCUUUCUUCUUGGGCAUUUAACUACAUAGAUAAUUAGCUUGUGUGUAUCUUCAUUGGGAAUAUGACAUUUUUUUAUUGGAAAUCUAAUUAUAUAGGAACCCUAAUAAAAUAAUGAUACCUAUACUAAAUGGUGUCAUCAUCUAAGUCUACCACCCCUAAAUGUAUGCAUAGGUUUUCUUUUUAUUUUGGUUCUCGCUUUUCCCAUAUGUGUUACUUCAUGUUGUUUUUGUUAUCUUUCUCUUCUCUCUCCUCCUCUUGUCAUCCAAUCCUCUUUCUUGCUCAUAUCUAUAUGAAAUGUGGGAAAUCAUAUUUCAUAGUUUUAUGAAUUCAAAGGAUUUUUUUGUAGUUAUUGAUUUGAAGUUUUUCUUAGUUGUUUAGUAUGUAUAGUCUUAUCUGUGUAAACUAAUACAUGUAUACUGCUUGAUAGAAUGUCUAUGUGAAUAAUUUGAAAGUUAAAUUUAAUGCUAUAGAUCUUUACAAAAUAUAUUUAUAAAUCAGAAAUAGAAAUCAAUCUCAAGUUUUGGUAAAAGAAUCGGAAUAUAGUUUUAAAUUUUAACAUUCAGAUUACAUGAUUAAGAAAAGGUGGAGCUAUAAUGUUAAUAGUGAUAGAGCUAUGAUAAGUUAUAUGUUCCUAUUAUAUAAUUGUACACUGCAUGAAUUGUGCUUAGACAAAAUGUGUUAUUUCUUUGAAUUGUACUUGAAUUGUACUUGGUAGUCUUGGCUUCAAAUUUUGUUUUGCUUGUGUGUUUUUUUGUUUAAAUUUCAGAUUGUAUUAUUGCCUUUGAUAUUCUUGAUUUUCAGCUACAUGCCUUUGUAAGUUUACAAAAAAUAUUUUUGAGCUAUAUGCCUUUUAUAUGCACUUAGUUGUUAUCUAUUUGGCACACCAUUUGUGACUUACAUCAUAUGCUUGAGGAAGACGAUAACUUUUUGUGAUGAGGCAUGUUUGUACAGAACCAAGUGCUGAAUAUUUGGAAGUUAUAUUUUUUUAUCUUUUUAUGACUAUAAGACGCUUCUUGCAUAAGUUACUCUCAUUUGGUUCUUCUCUUUAUGAAAAAAUAGUAAUAUUUUGAAAGAUUUUAUUUUCUAAUUUGUAUAAUAAUUAAAGAAGUGUACUACUAGAGGAUUUGCUUAUUGUUUACUAACAAAAAUUUAGUUGCUUCAAUUCGUCACUUGAAUUGGAUGUUGCCUAUUUAGUGAGGUGACAUGCUUUCAAAUUUCAAUUUUCUAUAUUUUGUCAUGAAAAGGUUUCAAAGUUCUUUUUGUUCUUUGUUACAAGUUUGGGUGUAUUCUUUGGAUCUUUGAUCUUGAGUUUGAAAAUGCUAAAAGUUUUUCAAAAUAAGUUAACAAGUGUGGUUUUAAUUUAAUCAAUUUGUGUGCACUUUCUUAAAAGUAGUUGAAUAUAACAAGUCUUAUAAAAAUCCCAAUUGCUAAUCAAGGUUUAUGUUUUGGACUAUGUUGUUUAUAACUUUAUAUUUUAUUUAUUGUCACAUAAUAUAUGAAGUUGAACAAUAUCUCAUCACAACUGAUUUAUAGAGGGCUGACAUUUCAUUUUGUUCUUUGUCCUUUGUUUUCUAUUUUCAUUUUGUUCUUUUUUGUUUGUUGUUUUGUACGGUAAAACCAAUUUUAAAAAGUUUUAGUCGUUUGGAAUGGUCACUUAAGUUGACUAACACUUAUUUAGUCUCAUUAAAAGUUCUCAAAAUCAUUUUUGUUUGUUAUGCUGAAUUUUCGUUUAACUUGUGUCUCUCUAGAAUAUGACAAUGUUUGAAAUGUUGAUAUCAACUAUUUUAUACUUUUUUCUCUACAAGAACAUUGAUCCAAGACAAAGGGAUAACCAAAUUUACUAAAAAAUGCUUCCUUUAGAGUUUCUGAUAUAUAUAUAUGGUCUACUCUCAAAUUUAAGCUAUGUUGAAAUUUUAGAGAGAUUCUUGAGUAUGAAGUAGAGCAGGAAAUGUGUGUUUUAGAAGGGAAUAUCGCCACCUACCAGACUAUGACAGCACUUAUGACUAUGGUUGAAUGCAUAUGGCGAGUUGGUGACAAAAAAUAGAUAGAAUCAUCUUAUUUAGAUUUAAUUUUAAGCUUGAGUGGUGCAUGAGAAGAAGAAAUUAAUGUGUUUGAGACACCGACCAUUUUCAAUCAGUUGGAUGGUGGGGAACCAUAAAUUAAAAUAAUAUAUACACACAUAUGCAUAUAAAUGCUUCUAUACUACUAUUACUCAUUCUCAUUAUUGCAUUUAUGCCAAAUGUAUGUAGAAAUUCAUGAACGUUUUUUGUCCAUACAUAUGAAGCCAUUGAUUUCUAAUUAAAAUGUAUUGAACCUGAAAGUUACGAGGCCAUGGGCUUCACUUAAAUUCUCAUUCUCUUUCAAUUAUGUAUUUGGUAUUUUAUGUUUUUCUAGUUAGUUUCCCUCCUCACUCGCAAUAAGUUAAGGUUGUCAAUUUCACAUUAAUAUCCAAGUUCAUCCCUUGCCAUUAUGUUCUGGGUUUUGGGUGUAUUCUUUGGACUUUUUAUUUUGCGGUUGAAAAUUCUAAAAGUUCUUCAAAAUAGGUGAAAAAGUGUGGUUCUCUCUUAAAGAGAAAAAAUUGGACCAAAUCUGUGAUAAAGUGGGAUUCUCUUUCAGUAUAAAGCAAGGUUUUGAGAACCGAACCGGUCAUCGAACUGUUCUAG